rnacentral:lncRNA from 1 species
GCAGACGUAGGUGCAAGGCCUCCACUGAGACAUAGGGAAGCUGUCCUGACUGGUGAGGACGUGAGAGAAAGUCCCAGUCCCAAUAAUGGCUUCUCCUUCCUCUCUUGCACAGGGAAGGUCACGUGGAGGCUGCUGCCAAGGUCAAGGUGCAGGUGCGGCACAUGCUCGGCCGGAUCUGGCCCCACCCUCGCUGAUGUUUGAGGAAUCCUCCAGUGUGAAGAUGCACUUGAAGGAGAAUUGGUGAGCUCCAUCCAGAGGCAUCAUCAGACCCCGUGGAGGAAGGCAGAGCACUGUCCCCGGGAGCACCCAGCGGGCACCUCCGGAGAGCUCAGGUACACCUAGCCCAGCACCCUGCCCUGGGGACUGGGGACCAGAGUCAGUUCCAUAUUGCUUUUUUAUUUGCUGAUCAGGGUAACUGCUCUUCAGUGUUUUGUGGAUUCUAGGAGGCAGUAAAAGGCAGCCU